AUAGCUUCUCAGCCUCUUGGCUAAGAUCAAGUGUAGUAUCUGUUCUUAUCAGUUUAAAAGAGCGUAGUGAAACUUUCUAACAUUCAUAAAUCUUACUUGUGUGGGUCUCUAGGGCAAUCGCUUCCCAGGUUUGGGGGAAGGGCGUCUCCAGAGAAGAAGGCACUGAUCUCUCUGGAUCUGCA
rfam:Myotis lucifugus cont2.56503, whole genome shotgun sequence.